GAUGAACGCUGGCGGCGUGCCUAAUACAUGCAAGUCGAGCGAACGGACGAGAAGCUUGCUUUUCUGAUGUUAGCGGCGGACGGGUGAGUAACACGUGUAUAACCUACCUAUAAGACUGGGAUAACUUCGGGAAACCGGAGCUAAUACCGGAUAAUAUUUUGAACCGCAUGGUUCAAAAGUGAAAGACGGUCUUGCUGUCACUUAUAGAUGGAUCCGCGCUGCAUUAGCUAGUUGGUAAGGUAACGGCUUACCAAGGCAACGAUGCAUAGCCGACCUGAGAGGGUGAUCGGCCACACUGGAACUGAGACACGGACCAGACUCCUACGGGAGGCAGCAGUAGGGAAUCUUCCGCAAUGGGCGAAAGCCUGACGGAGCAACGCCGCGUGAGUGAUGAAGGUCUUCGGAUCGUAAAACUCUGUUAUUAGGGAAGAACAUAUGUGUAAGUAACUGUGCACAUCUUGACGGUACCUAAUCAGAAAGCCACGGCUAACUACGUG
rnacentral:rRNA from 1 species